rnacentral:lncRNA from 10 species
GAAGAAUCACAAAAGAAGUGAAUAUGCCCUGCCCCACCUUAACUGAUGACAUUCCACCACAAAAGAAGUGUAAAUGGCCGGUCCUUGCCUUAAGUGAUGAUAUUACCUUGUGAAAGUCCUUUUCCUGGCUCAUCCUGGCUCAAAAAGCACCCCCACUGAGCACCUUGCGACCCCCCACUCCUGCCUGCCAGAAAACAACCCCCCUUUGACUGUAAUUUUCCUUUACCUACCCAAAUCCUAUAAAAUGGCCCCACCCCUAUCUCCCUUUGCUGACUCUCUUUUCGGACUCAGCCCACCUGCACCCAGGUGAUUAAAAGCUUUAUUGCUCACACAAAGCCUGUUUGGUGGUCUCUUCACAUGGACGUGCAUGAAAUUUGGUGCCGUGACUCAGAUCGGGGGACCUCCCUUGGGAGAUCAAUCCCCUGUCCUCCUGUUGUUUGCUCCAUGAGAAAGAUCCACCUACGACCUCAGGUCCUCAGACUGACCAGCCCAAGGAACAUCUCACCAAUUUUAAAUCAGGUAAGCGGCCUCUUCUUACUCUCUUCUCCAACCUCUCUCACUGUCCCUCAACCAUUUUCUCCUUUCCACUCUUCAAUCUCUCCCUUCUCUUAAUUUCAAUUCCCUUCAUUUUCUGGGAGAGACAAAGGAGACACGUUUUAUCCGUGGACCCAAAACUCCAGCACCGGUCACGGACUAGGAAGGCAGACUUCCCUUGGUGUUUAAUCAUUGCAAGGACACCUCUCUGAUUAUUCAUCCACAUUUCAAAGGUGUCAGACCACGCAGGGAUGCCUGCCGUGGUCCUUCACCCUUAGCGACAAGUCCCGCUUUUCUGGGAAAGGGGCAAGUACCCCAACCCCUUCUCUCCUUGUCUCUACCCCUUCUCUGCUUUUCUGGGGGAGGGGCAAGUACCCCUCAACCCCUUCUCCUUCAACCUUAGUGGCAAGUCCCGCUUUUCUGGGGGAGGGGCAAGUACCCCUCAACCCCUUCUCCUUCACUCUUAGUGGCAAGUCCCACUUUUCUAGAGGAGGGGGCAAGUACCCCAACCUCAUAUCUCUGUGCUCCAAUCCCUUAUUUCCAUGCCGCGACCCCUUAUUUCCGUGCCCCGACCCCUUAUUUCCAUGCCCCGACCCCUUAUUUCCAUGCCCCAUCCCUUAUUUCUAUGCCUCAACCUCUUAUCUCUGUGCCCCAACCCCUUUUCCCACUUUUCUGGAAGGUAAGAACCCCCAAACCCCUUCCCUCCAUUUCUCUACUCUCUCUUUUCUCUAGGCUUGCUUCCUUCACUAUAGGCAACUUUCCACCCUCCAUUCCUCCUUCUACUCCCUUGGCCUGUGUUCUCAAAAACUUAAAACCUCUUCAACUCACAUCUGACCUAAAACCUAAAUGCCUUAUUUUCUUCUGCAAUGCCGCUUGACCCCAGUACAAACUUGACAGUAGUUCCAAAUAGCCAGAAAAUGGCACUUUGAAUUUUUCCAUCCUGCAAGAUCUAAAUAAUUCUUGUCAUAAAAUAGGUAAACGGUCUGAGGUGCCUGACGUCCAGGCAUUCUUUUACACAUUAGUCACUUCCUAGUCUCUGUGCCCAGUGCAACUCGUCCCAAAUCUUCCUUCUUUCCCUCCCACCUGUCCCCUCAGUACCAACCCCAAGCAUUGCUGAGUCUUUCUAAUCUUCCUUUUCUGCAGACCCAUCUGACCUCUCCCUUCCUCCCCAGGCUGCUCCUUGCCAGGCUGAGCUAGGUCCCAAUUCUUCCUCAGCCUCUGCUCCUCCAUGCUAUAAUCUUUUUAUCACCUCCCCUCCUCACACUGGGUCCUGCUUACAGUUUCGUUACGUGACUAGCCCUCCCCAUCCUGCCCAGCAAUUUACUCUUAAAAAAGUGGCUGGAGCUAAAGGCAUAGUCAAGGUUAAUGCUCCUUUUUCUUUAUCCCAAAUCAGAUAGGGUUUAGGCUCUUUUUCAUCAAAUAUAAAAACCCAGCCCAGUUCAUGACUUGUUUGGCAACAACCCUGAGACACUUUACAGCCCUAGACCCUAAAACGUCAAAAGGCCGUCUUAUUCUCAAAAUACAUUUUAUUACCCAAUCUGCUCCCGACAUUAAAUAAAACUCCAAAAAUUAAAUUCCGGCCCUCAAACCCCACAACAGGAUUUAAUUAACCUCGCCUUCAAGGUGUAUAAUAAUAGAAAAUAGUUGCAAUUCCUUGCCUCCACUGUGAGACAAACCCCAGCCACAUCUCCAGCACACAAGAACUUCCAAACGCCUGAACCGCAGCGGCCACGCGUUCCUCCAGAACCUCCUCCCACAGGAGCUUGCUACAUGUGCCGGGAAUCUGGCCACUGGGCCAAGGAAUGCCUGCAGCCCAGGAUUCCUCCUAAGCCGCGUCCCAUCUGUGUGGGACCCCACUGAAAAUCGGACUGUUCAACUCACCUGGCAGCCACUCCCAGAGCCCCUGGAACUCUGGCCCAAGCCUCUCUGACUGACUCCUUCCCAGAUCUUCUCGGCUUAGCGGCUGAAGACUGACACUGCCGGAUCACCUCGGAAGCCCCCUAGAACGUCACUGACGCCGAGCUUCAGGUAACUCUCACAGUGGAAGGUAAGCCCGUCCCCUUCUUAAUCAAUACGGAGGCUACCCACUCCACAUUACCCUCUUUUCAAGGGCCUGUUUCCCUUGCCUCCAUAACUGUUGUGGGUAUUGAUGGCCAAGCUUCUAAACCUCUUAAAACUCCCCAACUCUGGUGCCAACUUAGACAAUACUCUUUUAAGCACUCCUUUGUAGUUAUCCCCACCUGCCCAGUUCCCUGAUUAGGCUGAGACACUUUAACUAAAUUAUCUGCUUCCCUGACUAUUCCUGGACUACAGCUGUAUCUCAUUGCCGCCCUUCUUCCCAAUCCAAAGCCUCCUUUGCGUCCUCCUCUUGUAUUCCCCCACCUUAACCCACAAGUAUAAGAUACCUCUACUCCCUCCUUGGGGACUGAUCAUGCACCCCUUACCAUCUCAUUAAAACCUAAUCACCCUUACCCCACUCAACGCCAAUAUCCCAUCCCGCAGCAUGCUUUAAAAAGAUUAAAGCCUGUUAUCACUCGCCUGCUACAGCAUAGUCUUUUAAAGCCUAUAAACUCUCCUUACAAUUCCCCCAUUUUACCUGUCCUAAAACCAGACAAGCCUUACAAGUUAGUUCAGGACCUGCACAUUAUCAAUCAAAUUGUUUUGCCUAUCCACCCUGUGGUGCCCAACCCGUACACUCUUUUGUCCUGAAUACCUUCCUCCACAACUCACUAUUCCCUGCUUGAUCUUAAAGACGCUUUUUUCACUAUUCCCCUGCACCCCUCGUCCCAGCCUCUCUUUGCUUUCAUUUGGACUGACCUUGACACCAUCAAGCUCAGCAAACUACCUAGGCUGUACUGCCGCAAAGCUUCACAGACAGCCCCCAUUACUUCAAUCAAGCCCAAAUUUCUUCCUCAUCUGUUACCUAUCUCGGCAUAAUUCUCAUAAAAACACACGUGCUCUCCCUGCCAAUCGUGUCUGACUGAUCUCUCAAACCCCAGCACCUCCUACAAAACAACAACUCCUUUCCUUCCUAGGCAUGGUUAGCGCAGUCAGAAUUCUUACACAAGAGCCAGGACCACACCCUGUAGCCUUUCUGUCCAAACAACUUGACCUUACUGUUUUAGCCUAGCCCUCAUGUCUGCAUGCAGUGGCUGCCGCUGCUUUAAUACUUUUAGAGGCCCUCAAAAUCACAAACUAUGCUCAACUCACUCUCUACAGUUCUCAUAACUUCCAAAAUCUAUUUUCUUCCUCAUACCUGACGCAUAUACUUUCUGCUUCCCGGCUCCUUCAGCUGUACACUCUUUGUUGAGUCUCCCACAAUUACUGUUGUUCCUGGCCCAGACUUCAAUCCGGCCUCCCACAUUAUUCCUGAUACCACACCUGACCCCCAUGACUGUAUCUCUCUGAUCCACCUGACAUUCACCCCAUUUCCCCAAAUUUCCUUCUUUCCUGUUCCUCACCCUGAUCACGCUUGAUUUAUUGAUGGCGGUUCCACCAGGCCUAAUCGCCACACACCAGCAAAGGCAGUUUAUACUAUAGUACAAGCCACUAGCCUGCCUCUUAGAACAUCUCAUUUCCUUUCCAUCAUGGGAAUCUAUCCUCAAGGAAAUAACUUCUCAGUGUUCCAUCUGCUAUUCUACUACUCCUCAGGGAUUAUUCAGGCCUCCUCCCUUCCCUACACAUCAAGCUCAAGGAUUUGCCCCACCCAGGACUGGCAAAUUAGCUUUACUCAACAUGCCCUGAGACCGAUAACUAAAAAAACCUCUUAGUCUAGGUAGAUACUUUCACUGGAUAGGUAGAGGCCUUUCCUACAGGUCUGAGAAGGCCCCCGCAGUCAUUUCUUCCAUUCUGUCAGACAUAAUUCCUCAGUUUAGCCUUCCCACCUCAAUACAGUCUGAUAACAGACGAGCCUUUAUUAGUCAAAUCAGCCAAGCAGUUUUUCAGGCUCUUAGUAUUCAGUGAAACCUUUAUAUCCCUUAUGGUCCUCCGUCUUCAAGAAAAGUAGAAUGGACUAAAGGUCUUUUAAAAACACACCUCACCAAGCUCAGCCACCAACUUAAAAAGGACUGGACAAUACUUUUACCACUUUCCCUUCUCAGAAUUCAGGCCUGUCCUCGGAAUGCUACAGGGUACAGCCCAUUUAAGCUCCUGUAUAGAUGCUCCUUUUUAUUAGGCCCCAGUCUCAUUCCAGACACCAGACCAACUUAGACUGUGCCCCAAAAAAACUUGUCAUCCCUACUAUCUUCUGUCUAGUCAUACUCCUAUUCACCAUUCUCAACGACUCAUACAUGCCUUGCUCUGGUUUACACUGCCGGUUUACACUGUUUUUCCAAGCCAUCACAGCUGAUAUCUCCUGGUGCUAUCCCCAAACUGUCACUUUUAACUCUUGAAGUAAAUAAAUAAUCUUUGCUGGCAGGACUAUGCCGAAUCUCCUUAAGCACUCUCUAAUCAGAUAUCCUGAGUCGUCCCAAUUCUCAGACCUUUUAUACCUGUUUUUCUCCUUCUGUUAUUCCAUUUAGUUUCUCAAUUCAUCCAAAACCGUAUCUAGGCCAUCACCAAUCACUCUAUAUGACAAAUGUUUCUUCUAACAUCCCCACAAUAUCACCCCUUACCACAAGACCUCCCUUCAGCUUAAUCUCUCCCACUCUAGGUUCCCACGCCGCCCCUAAUCCCGCUUGAAGCAGCCCUGAGAAACAUCGUCCAUUCUCUCUCCAUAUCACCCCCCAAAAAUUUUCGCUGCCCCAACACUUCAACACUUUUUUGUUUUAUUUUUCUUAUUAAUAUAAGAAGGCAGGAAUGUCAGGCCUCUGAGCCCGAGCCAAGCCAUCACGUCCCCUGUGACUUGCACAUAUACGCCCAGGUGGCCUAAAGUAACUGAAGAAUCACAAAAGAAGUGAAAAUGCCCUGCCCCACCUUAACUGAUGACAUUCCACCACAAAAGAAGUGUAAAUGGCUGGUCCUUGCCUUAAGUGAUGACAUUACCUUGUGAAAGUCCUUUUCCUGGCUCAUCCUGGUUCAAAAAGCACCCCCACUGAGCACCUUGCAACCCCCACUCCUGCCUGCCAGAGAACAACCCCCCUUUGACUGUAAUUUUCCUUUACCUACCCAAAUCCUAUAAAACGGCCCCACCCCUAUCUCCCUUUGCUGACUCUCUUUUCGGACUCAGCCCACCUGCACCCAGGUGAUUAAAAGCUUUAUUGCUCACACAAAGCCUGUUUGGUGGUCUCUUCACAGGGACACGCAUGAAAAAAAUGUGCUGGGAACAGGAGAUACCAGGUAGUUCUGCCCUCAGGGCCCACUCAUGGCAGGUAGUGGUAAGCCAAGCAUUCUGGACCUUGGGCCACCAGGUGGCAUAUGCAAGCACAGUUUUAGUGAGUGCAGGUGGGCAAAUUCUUGAGACUCCAGGCAGUCUUCCUGUAUGCUGGCAGUGGGAGUGGUAAGCCAGAUCCGUGGGUGAGUCCUUAGGCCCUUAAGCCGAAUGUAUGGCCUGGAUUAUGGUAGUAGUGAUGGCAGGAUAAUUUUGGGGCUCUCAUGUGGCACUCACUAAUGUUAGCUGUUGGUAUGAUGGGCUGAGCAAGCUGGUCCCCAGGUUCCUUGGUUGUGCAUGUGCAUGGAUGUAGUUGAUGGUAUUGAUGACAGGCUAUAUGGGCUCACCUUCAGGAUUCCAGAAGUAGGGUACAGAUGCUAGAGGUGGUAGAAGGGGUUGGGUAAUCCCCAGGUCCCUGGGAGGGGUGCUCAUGCUUUGGGUGGGGGAAGCAAUGGUGACAGGUCUGGUGGGCCUGAUCUCAGGGCAUCAGGGUGUGCAGAGCUCCAGGAGGUAGUAGGCAGGGCAGGCAGUCUGUGGUGUUGGUUGUGGAGAGCCUGACCUCUGGGCUGGUGCUAGAGUGUGGUGAUCCUGCUGUUGAGUAUGGGUGGGGUUGCUAUCAGUGGUCCCCUGCAGGGAGCUCUCAGGUUCUGAGGGGUGUACACUUUCAACUCUGGCAGUAGCAGUGUCCACAGUGGUGUGUGUGAAGAGCCUGCACUCAUGACAUGCACUAGAGCACAGAGGCCAUGCUUUUGAAGGGGGCAGGGUUGCUAUUCAGAGCCCCAAACAGGCACUUCUCAGUUUCUGGGUAGUGUUUGCUUUGUCUCCUGGCUGCAGUCAGUGACUGCUAUCAUGUUCAAAGGGGUCAGAUGGAUCCUGCCUUUCUGGGUGUGAACUCAAGCACAGAGGCUGUGUUGUUGGUGGGAAUGGGGUUACUAUUUGCAUCCUCAGACAGGCAGCUGUCAGGCUCACUCACUUUGGCUCCCCGUGGCAGCAGCACUAUUGUGAUAUGCAGAAAGGGGAAGGGAUCCAUUUUCACAUGAGCCCAAGUACUGAGAACAUACUGCUAAUAGGGAUGUGGUUACUGUUUACAUACCCAGACUCUCAGAUUUAAGGUUUGCUUGCUUUGGCUUUCAGAGGCAGCAGUGGCUGCAGCAGUGUGGAGAGUUGGGGAAGGGAUCUUGACCUCUGUGCAUAAGCUAGAGCACAAAGGCCAUGCUGCUAGUUAGGGCAGGGUGGUUCCCUGCCCUAAUGGUACCAGGUACCAUUGGUAUCAUUAUACCAGGCAGGGAGCUCUUGGGUUCUGCCAAGCACAUGCACUGGUUCCCUUUGUCUCAGGAGAAGCCUCCUUGAUGUACUGCGCUAUCAUUUCCUUGAGGAGUUGUACUCCCUGUGGGUUAGAGUGCUGGGGACCCCACAACACCAUCGGGUCCAGCCACCAUUGUGCCACUGAAGCCCUCCAGGUGGAUGCCAGGGAAUUCUACUGGGGGUUCACAGGGUGUGAAGAUGUGGAAUUGUUGGUUCUCAGAAGAGGAUGCAGUCUGGUGGAAGCUGGACUCUGGCCAUAGUGCCCUACUGCAGCUGCUUAUGUCUUGCUAUGUGAUGUGGUGCAAGUUUCCCGCUUGCAGCAAUGCCCUGGCAGGCCUCUAGAUCACCACGCUGUAGAGUCCCCACCUAUGCUAAUCUCAGAGCUGUAUAGAUGGAAGAGGUCUCCUGUGGUUAGGAUUGCAGUAGUCUAAGGGAGAUCACACAUAAAGAAACUCUCCUUUCCUUCCAACUGGUGGGGUUCCUCAUGUGAUGGAUGUCUCCAAUUCCAAGCAAUAUUACAGCUAGCAGUUCAGUACCUCUCUGCUCAGCAGUGAAGAAACUAGGUCUUGUUAUGUCGCCAAGGCUGGUCUCCUACUCCUGGUCUCAAGUGAUCCUCCCACCUCUGCCUCCCAAUGCACUGGAGUUACAGGCAUGAGCCACUGUGCUCAGCCUGUAAUUGUUUUAGGACUGUACAAAUCAUGCCCAUAUAAGAUGAAUCUCUUAUACCUGACAGAAGUCAUGCCAGUUAGAGAUACUUGUGCAAGGCUUGGAUAACAAAAGUGAAACAGAAACUCCUCCUUGUUUAUGGCAGCUGAUACACAAAUCCCCAAAAUGAAAGCAUUUACAGCAGCUAGAAGAUCUGUUCCUCAGGAGAGUCACGUGUGUGCUGGGUGUGAGGCAGUCUGGACAAUGGUUGCAAUGGAGCAAUAACAAGAGGGGCCCCUGACAUCCAGAUGGCAAGCCCAGAGAUCAGAUCUUGAAACAUAUAUUCAGUAUUUGCUCCUUUAUUUCUGAUCCUGUCCUUCAAAAUACUUUAAACUUUAUUGUAUUUAAUUCCCUAUAGCUUAAAAUACAGAGGAUGGUUUUUGUUUGUAUUAAACCUUUACUGACAAAACCACCAUUCUUAUCAUUGCAUUUAUAAAGUGCUAGACUGUACUUUCUUUAAGUAGCAUUUCUUUUUACAAUUAUAUAUAAACACUAUCAUGUAGUACAUGAACAGAAUUAAAUAAAAUGCAAAUUAUUGUUUGACAGAAUUGAGGAGUUAUUUGAUAUUAUGUAAAAAAACAAAAAAGAUUUAUCAAAGUGGAAUUUGUGAAUUUUUUUUAUGUGAGUUUCAACUAGGUUGUGUCUGAAUCAUUUAAGAUCAGCUUCACACUAAUCUGGCUUAGGAAAUGGUAACCAUAACAAAAAUAGCAAACAACUAGUGCAAAUCUUUACAUUUGAAAAGCAAUUUGCCUUACAUUAUUAAACUUAAAUGUCAAAGUUAGAGACAGAAAAUACUAUUUGUGGUCACCAUUAAAUACUUUAAGCAGCUGGUUCUGAAAUUUUAAGAGGUAUGCUUAGUAAUGUGUGGCAUCACUAAUGGAUCAUCUUGGAAAUGUUCGGGGAUUUUAAGUUAAUUAUAAACAAUAAUGCUUUUACUCUCUGCAUUAGUCCAUUCGCAUGCUGCUAAUAAAGACAUACCUAGACUGGGUAAUUUAUAAAGGAAGGAGGUUUAAUAGACUCACAGUUCCACAUGGCUGGAGAGGCCUCACAAUCAUGGCAGAAGAUGAAGGAAGAGCAAAAAGACAUCCUACAUGGCAGCAGGCAAGAGAGCAUGUGCAGGGAAACUUCCCUUUAUAAAACCAUUGGAUCUCAUGAGACUUAUUCACUAUCAAGAGAACAGCAUGGGAAACUACUGACCCCAUGAUUCAAUUACAUCCCACUGGGUACCUCCCAUGGCAUUUGGAAAUUGUGGAGAGCUACAAUUCAAGAUAAGAUUUGAGUGGCAUCAGAGCCAAACCAUAUCACUCUUUUAAUGACUACUGGUAAAUCACACAUGCAAAGCACUUUUUUGUUGCUAUUAUGUGAUAUUUAACAAUUCCAAUUUUAUAAAUUUAUCCCUUGGGAAAGGUCCACAUAGGAAAAACAGAUUAAGUUGAUUUUCAAAUAGAACUGACCAAAAACAAAAUGCAAUUGUUUAACAAAAACAAUAAAAUAAAAUGCAUUACUAAGUCAAUGAAAUAUAUAAACAUUCAUUUUGUAAAAAUAAAAGUAAGCACUUUUGUUUUAGCUAACUGUCUAUUUUUUGUUUUUAUUUAUCCUCAGUUGUCCAGCAUUUUUCCUCAAAAGUAAACUCAUUUUGUGUGUGCUGACAUACAUUAUAUAGCCUAAAUUUCCUUGGUAUAAGAGUACAUUCGCUUGUUUUCCAAUAUUCUGAAAUAUAUUUGCUAUUCUAAGGAAAUGUUAAUUGGGCAUUGAACAAUAGUAAGUUUGUGGAACUUUCUAAGACAAAUAAGUUUGUGUUAAAAAGCUUGUGGGAGAAAAAUUUAAAAGGUCCUAUGAAUAAACUGGACAACAAGAAGCAAAGAGAUUAUCAAAUAAUCUAUCACAUUGAAUCAAUGCAGUGUUAGUCCCAUAAUUUGAAUAGGAAAUGACGUAUUAUGUGUAUAAUAAUAAUUAUAAUGUAAUGAAUUUCUCUCUGCAAUUCUCUCCCUCUGAGAUGAGUCAAUGGACUUUUUUUUACAUAAUGAAAUCUUUAUAUCUUUUCAGUAUUGGAGUACAAAGUAAAUAAAUAAUAAAAAGUGAAUAGCCAUGUGGCACAUAAGUGAGCAACAGUAGAAAAGCAUAUGUAUCAAACUUUUAGUAACAUGGGUUUAGAUAAUCUUUUAAAAAAUUUAGCUCAAAUGAAAUAGGAAGAAAUGUAAAGUAAUUACUUUAAAUAUCAUAUGUAAUUACAGUUGACCCUUGAACAACAUGAGUUUGUUCUCUUAGGUCCAUUUAUAUGUUUAUUUUUUUUAAACAAUAAAUGAUACACUGAGUGUGCCUGCCUCUCCUGCCUCCCCUUCCACCUCUUCCACCUCUUCCAACUCUGCCACCCCUGGGACAGCCAGACCAACCCCUCUGCUUACUCCUAAGCCUGUUCAACAUGAAAACAAGAAUGAAGACUUUCAGGAUGAUUCACUUCCACUUAAUGAAAUACUAAUUAUACUUUAUCUUCCUUAUAAUUUUCUUAACAACAUUUUCUUUUCUCUAGCUUACUUUAUUGUAAGAAUACAGUAUGUAAUACAUAUAACAUGCAAAAUACGUGUUAAUAAACUGUUUAUGUUAUUGAUAAGUCUUCCAGUUAAUAGUAGGCUAUUAGUAGUUCAGUUUUGGGGAAGUCAAAAGUAAUACCUGAAUUUUCUGCUGGAUAGGGGAUCAGAACCCCUAUUCCUAUGUUGUUCAAGGUCAACUGUAC